rnacentral:rRNA from 1 species
UACAGAGGGGGCAAGCGUUAUUCGGAAUUAUUGGGCGUAAAGGGCGCGUAGGCGGCUUUGCAAGUGACGGGUGAAAUCCCUCGGCUUAACCGAGGAACUGCCUGUCAAACUGCAUGGCUUGAGACCGGGAGAGGUGAGUGGAAUUCCCAGUGUAGCGGUGAAAUGCGUAGAUAUUGGGAAGAACACCGGUGGCGAAGGCGGCGACCUGGUCCGAUACUGACGCUGAGGCGCGAAAGCGUGGGGAGCAAACAGG